UGGGGAAUAUUGCACAAUGGGCGCAAGCCUGAUGCAGCGACGCCGCGUGAGCGAAGAAGUAUUUCGGUAUGUAAAGCUCUAUCAGCAGGGAAGAAAAUGACGGUACCUGACUAAGAAGCUCCGGCUAAAUACGUGCCAGCAGCCGCGGUAAUACGUAUGGAGCAAGCGUUAUCCGGAUUUACUGGGUGUAAAGGGAGUGUAGGCGGUUUGGUAAGUCAAAAUGUGAAAGCCCGUGGCUCAACCACGGAAUUGCAUUUGAUACUGCUAGACUCGAGUUCGGGAGAGGUAAGUAGAAUUCCUAGUGUAGCGGUGGAAUGCGUAGAUAUUAGGAGGAAUACCAGUGGCGAAGGCGGCUUACUGGAACGACACUGACGCUGAGGCUCGAAAGCGUGGGGAGCAAACAGGAUUAGAUACCCUGGUAGU
rnacentral:rRNA from 1 species